rnacentral:lncRNA from 1 species
AAGAUGUGCACUUUGUUGUUUUGUGACUAUAACAUUUUGAAUAAAAUAAUUUGAAUUAAUCAUUACACACUAAAUGAUGUUUGUCAUCCCAUGUGUUCUUCUGGUUGAUUUGCAUCCAGAGAUGUGAUUAACAAGAACAGAAAACCACAGGGGGAGGGAAGAUACAUGCAAAAAUGCAAUGCAAAAUUGCUACAUGCAAAAUUAUGUACCAUCUAUAUUUGAUGAAAUGACAGAUGUAUUUGGAAAAACUCAAUGACUCUUCAGCAGUUUUACAGAUGUUAUUAAGGAACCUUAAGAUCCUGUCUGGGAUGAAGUGGAACAUUUGUGGACUCCUGCUCAUUUUACCUGCCCUCUUCAGCAUAUCUGCAGAAGGAAAGAAAAACUGUAAAGAAGGAAAUCAUGGACAUGUAUGUAGUCCUGUCAUGAGGGAAAAUAAACAAAAUCAGGAUGGAACUGAUAUGGAGAUGGAUAUGUUUAUACUGGGUGAUGAUGGUUUCAUGGGAUACAUUGAAGCAGGUGAUUCAAAUCACACACAUUCAAAAGGAUUGAGAAUUAAAUUAUUAUGACACUGAAUGUAUAGUGUGUAUAUGCUGUUACUGCAUAACAUAAAAAUUACAUUUUGGUGUCCAAAUUAUUUAUCAUUUGUCUUUCAAAUAGGUAAAUGUAUUAAUGGUAAAUGGGACCCAAAGGCGAGCCAGUCUACUAUUCUGUGCAAUUCUAGUGGAUCAUUAGGUGAGGAGAAACCCAAUGUAGCCUAAACAGCAUUUUACAAGAGAGAAAGUUUCUACUAACGUUCCUUGAAAAAAAUUGUUUUUAAAUGUUUUUAUCUUGAAAACCU